UACGGAGGGUGCGAGCGUUGUCCGGAAUCACUGGGCGUAAAGGGCGCGUAGGCGGUCUGCUAAGCGUGCGGUGAAAGCCUGGGGGCUCAACCCCAGGUCUGCCGUGCGAACUGGUGGACUAGAGCACUGUAGAGGCAGGUGGAAUUCCGGGUGUAGCGGUGGAAUGCGUAGAUAUCAGGAGGAAUACCGAUGGCGGAAGGCAGGUCUCUGGGCUGACACUGACGCUCAUGCACGAA
rnacentral:rRNA from 1 species